CCCCUUUUUAACCACAAACCGAAUUUUCUUUCAUUUAGGUGAUCUAUAUAUAUCUAUAUCGUAUAGCUUAUAGCUUAUAUCUAUUUUAAAUAACUUAAAGCCGCUAAAAUUUGGGGGGGAACAGCUUUCGCCCUGGAGCGGUGCGCGAUGCUGUCUCACGCCGACCUCCUGGACGCCAGGCUAGGUAUGAAAGAUGCCGCCGAGCUUCUGGGCCACCGGGAGGCGGUGAAGUGUAGGCUGGGCGUGGGGGGCUCUGACCCUGGGGGCCAUCCAGGGGACCUGGCGCCCAACUCCGACCCAGUCGAAGGAGCCACUCUGCUGCCGGGCGAGGACAUCACCACCGUGGGCUCUACUCCUGCUUCGCUGGCGGUGAGCGCCAAAGACCCAGACAAGCAGCCGGGGCCCCAGGGCGGCCCCAACCCCAGCCAAGCCGGCCAGCAGCAGGGCCAACAGAAACAGAAGCGCCACCGGACACGCUUCACCCCAGCGCAGCUCAACGAAUUGGAGAGGAGCUUCGCCAAGACUCACUACCCCGACAUCUUUAUGCGUGAGGAGCUAGCGCUGCGUAUCGGGCUGACCGAAUCGCGAGUGCAGGUACACCGGGCUCGGGCUCGGGGGAAGAAG
rnacentral:lncRNA from 1 species